rnacentral:tRNA from 1 species
UGGGGUGUCGCCAAGUGGUAAGGCACAGGGUUUUGAUCUCUGCAUUCCAAGGUUCGAAUCCUUGCACCCCAGCCA